GAUGAAGAACGUAGCGAAAUGCGAUAAGUAAUGUGAAUUGCAGAAUUCAGUGAAUCAUCGAAUCUUUGAACGCACCUUGCGCUCUCUGGUAUUCCGGAGAGCAUGCCUGUUUGAGUAUCAUGAAAUCUCAACCAUUAGGGUUUCUUAAUGGCUUGGAUUUGGGCGUUGCCAGUUGCCUGGCUCGCCUUAAAAGAGUUAGCGUGUUUAACUUGUCAUAUCUGGCGUAAUAAGUUUCGCUGGUGUACGACUUGAGAAGUGCGCUUCUAAUCGUCCUCGGACAAUUCUUGAACUCUGGUCUCAAAUCAGGUAGGACUACCCGCUGAACUUAAGCAUAUCAAUAACGGAGGA
rnacentral:misc_RNA from 1 species